CCUACGGUGGGCAGCCGUGAGGAAUAUUGGUCAAUGGACGCAAGUCUGAACCAGCCAUGCCGCGUUCAUGAAGACGGCUCUAUGAGUUGUAAACUUCUUUUGUACGAGAGUAAACGCAGAUACGCGUAUCUGUCUGAAAGUAUCUUACGACUAAGGAUCGGCUAACUCCGUGCCAGCCGCCGCGGUAAUACGGAGGAUUCAAGCGUUAUACGGAUUUAUUGGGUUUAAAGGGUGCGUAGGCGGUCGGAUAAGUUAGAGGUGAAAUCCCGAGGCUCAACUUCGGAAUUGCCUCUGAUACUGUUCGGCUAGAGAGUAGUUGCGGUAGGCGGAAUGUAUGGUGUAGCGGUGAAAUGCUUAGAGAUCAUACAGAACACCGAUUGCGAAGGCAGCUUACCAAGCUACUUCUGACGUUGAGGCACGAAAGCGUGGGGAGCAAACAGGAUUAGAUACCCCAGUAGUC
rnacentral:rRNA from 1 species